AUUGAACGCUGGCGGCAGGCCUAACACAUGCAAGUCGAACGAGUGGCGGACGGGUGAGUAAUGUCUGGGAAACUUCCUGAUGGAGGGGGAUAACUACUGGAAACGGUAGCUAAUACCGCCUACCUUCGGAUGUGCCCAGAUGGGAUUAGCUAGUUGGUGGGGUAACGGCUCACCUAGGCGACGAUCCCUAGCUGGUCUGAGAGGAUGACCGGCCACACGGGACCUGAGACACGGGCCAGACUCCUCCGGGAGGCAGCAGUGGGGAAUAUUGCACAAUGGCCGCAAGCCGGAUGCAGCCAUGCGGCGUGUAUGAAGAAGGCCUUCGGGUUGUAAAGUACUUUCAGCGGGGAGGCGUUACCCGCAGAAGAAGCACCGGCUAACUCCGUGCCAGCCGCCGCGGUAAUUC
rnacentral:rRNA from 1 species